rnacentral:rRNA from 1 species
GGGUGCGAUAAUAACAGUGUUAAUGCAUCGGAUCCCAUCAGAACUCCACAGUUAAGCAUGCUUGGGAUAUAGUAGUACUGGGAUGGGUGACCUCUCAGGAAUUCCUAGUGUUUCACCCU